AUUUCCUCAAAUCAGGUAGGACUACCCGCUGAACUUAA
rnacentral:rRNA from 1 species